GUGUGCAAGGGAUACACUUGCUCCAUCCAUGUCACUUUUUUUGUUGAGGAUGUUGGGAUAAAAGGGAUUGUGUUUGCUCGUGGUGAAGUUGAUCAGUGGGAGAGUGACUGGUGCUGCUGAGUGUGUGUCUGUCUGCUCAAGGGCCACAUGGAGGUUAUUAACACUUGACAGCAGUGCUGUGUGGCCCGAAGGAGCCAUUACUCAGGGGAAGCGUGUACCAUUACAGAAUUUAGCUCCUCUGUCCAGUUUUCUGCCUGAAAUGCAACUUAAAAGCUCGUUCCUGUAGCCUUCGCAAAUCUGGAAAACAGAGUUCAGCCAAGGCCUGCAAUGUCUUCGAUGACCAGCAGGUGGAAGCACAGUGGCAAGAAGACAGCUUCUCAUUCAUGGCCAGUCAAAGAAAAGAGGGAUGGUGGAGAGAAGUUGAGUCCUCCACUCCAUUUUCUUCCCCUCAACCUUGAGCACAGCGGAGGAAGUGAGCCUGGACGUGUUAAACAGCAGCUGGUAUUCACUCAGUCAGCUGCAUUGACUCCUUUGGGUGACUGUCAGUAUUCACACAUAACCACACAUUUGGACUCGACAGAGAGCUACACUAAUGGACUCAGACAGAACCUCAGCAGAGUGUGAAGAAAUCUGUGCAGUGAUGUCACCCUCCUCCCCCACUUCUCCAGCA